CCCUUAGAUGUUCUGGGCCGCACGCGCGCUACACUGAUGCAUUCAACAAGCCUAGCCUUGACCGAGAGGUCCGGGUAAUCUUUGAAACUGCAUCGUGAUGGGGCUAGAUUAUUGCAAUUAUUAAUCUUCAACGAGGAAUGCCUAGUAAGCGUGAUUCAUCAAAUCGCGUUGAUUACGUCCCUGCCCAUUGUACACACCGCCCGUCGCUCCUACCGAUUGAAUGUGUUGGUGAGGAGCUCGGAUUGGCAGCAGUUGGUGGUUCGCCACCGGCUAUUGCUGAGAAGUCCUCCAAACCGCCCCAUUUAGAGGAAGGAGAAGUCGUAACA
rnacentral:rRNA from 1 species